UUUUUUGGUAUUGGAGAUGGAAUGCAGGGGUGCUAUAGCAUUAUACCACUGAACUACAUCCAGUGUUGUUUUUUGUAUUUUGUUUUUUCUGAAAUAGGGUCUUACUAAAGUUGCUAAGGCUGGUCUUAAACUUGUGAUCCUUGCCUCAGUUUCUAAAGUUGCUGGGGUUAUAGACAUGUGCCACUGCUCCAAGCCUUUUUAAAUUCUGACAGAAAAAUAAAAACCUGUAUUUACUAUUUUUUAGUAAUUUACUUUUGGCAUUUUAGACAUUUUUUGAAUAUUUUUUCUACCUUAAAAAUGGUUAUUAAAUAGGAGAUUAUUAAAGUUUAAAAUAGUUUUCAUUUUCAUGAUGUAAUUUUAUACUGUACAAAUAUAUAGUUCCAGUUUGAAAUGCACUGUUUCCUUUUUAUAAGUUUUAAUUAUAUUAUUAUAUAUCACAUUAUAUUAUUUAUAUAUUCACAUAUUACAAGCAGGGUAAACAGUCCAGUUGUCAUGAAACUGACCUUAUUUUCUCACCAUCUCUUUUCCUAUUCCUUACUUUUUCCUGUCCUUUUUAUUUCAUAGUGCCCCAUGUGCAAAUGAAAAAUGCAUCAUUUUUUCUUCAUCAAAUGUUUUACUUCAGAUACUUUUUUUAAAAAAUGGAGUGUACAGUGAAACAUCUUAAAUAAUAUUAUAUUACUAAGGCCUAAAGAAUGCAAACCAUUGCAAUACUGAAUAGUCAGGUACAAGAUGCCCCAGACUAAGGGUGAAGUCUCAUACUUUCAUUUUGUAAGGUGUUGUUUCAGCAGAUAGACUUAUUUCUUCAGUAAUGAUUAGUGUCUUGGGAUCAGAAUUGACUAAAUAUACAACUUUAAGUUAAAACCUCAUUUCUUCAGAAAUCUUUCUCAGUCCUUAGUAAGUCUUCUGGAUGGAUGGUACACUGCAAAAUCAGUAUAUUUGCUAUUAUUUUGCUAUUAUUUUAUUGUUUAAAGCCUGUUUUUGCCAUUAUGAAGACCUUCCUGUCAUUUGGAUCUGGAUACAUGUAUUCAAAGAUGAUUUAUUUUCAUUUUAUUUAACAAAUUCUUAUAUUUUACUGUUUUAAAUACUUUACAAAUAUUAGUUUAUAUAAUCCUCUUAACUCUACACUAACACAUAGCUUCAUUUUACAAUUGAGAAAACUAAGGUACAGAGUUUUAUCUUGUGGUAGGGCCUUAAGUUGGGGGAGACUACUGAGGGUAGGUCAAGAAGAUAACUUAAUAGUAGUGCUAAGAAGCAAAAGAAAGAUAUGCAGGAGUUUGAGGAAGAUGGGUCUGUUUAGGAAGGAGUAAGGAUUCAGCUGGGCCUAGUCUUAAAGAGUGGCAUGUCAUCCUUACUCAAUUUUAAGUCUUUGGGCUCUAGAAGCAAAGGACAAACUUAGAAAGAGGAGCUGCUCCUCAGGUUUCAGCUGCCUGUUCAGCCUGGCAGGUGGAUUGUACUGGCUCAUGUGAUUCUUACAGGGCUGCACCAACCUUUAUGUCUUACCUCCUAGCAUUUCUUGGCUGACUCAGGGCCAUUUUGUCCCUGAAGGGUUUAACUUUUCCCUCAGCUGGGAAUUUGGGCAUUGCAAAUCACUGGAGAAAUUUUUUCCCCAGCCUUUACUUCAGCCCACUGCAGCCCCUUCCUUGCACUAUGCAUAUUCCAUUGAAAUAUUUUUCAGUAGGGUCUAUGCAUCUGUAUUUUAUGAAAUUCAGAGAUUGAUGUUAAGCAACAAAAUUAAAGGUCAAAUCCAUCUUUUUUGUUGGAAUUGGAGAGCAGUUAAAAUCAGACAAUAUGGAAAUAUGUAGUAAAAAGUAGAAAUAUGGAGAAAAAAAAAGAGAGAGAAUGUAGAAAAGAAGAGAUAAAUUGGGAUGGGGAAGGAUGGUGAAAAAAUGGAGAGAAUUGCUGAUUUGCUUCACACCCACACCUCCUCCCUGAAUUCACAGUAACAGCAGCAGUGUCACUCUCUUUUCCCUGACAUGUGCUUUACCAGGGAGUUGAGCAUUGUGGGAGUGGAAAAUUUUUCUCUUCUGCAUUUUGAAACUUGGGUGUGCUGCUUUAAGAUGCCACUGGUAUCUCAGUAAUGUUUGUUUGUACUGGAUAUUAUCUCUGUAGCCUUUGUGGAUGGGGCUUAUAACACAAACAAUACUGUUAACAGAACUGCAGGUACUCGAUUGCUAUGUUUAUUUUAUUAGUUAAAAAACUGCGAGAGCCAUAGGACUUCUGAGCACAUUUAGAAAAUACCAGAGGCAAUUUGAAGAACAACUUUAGAAAGAAAGAAAAAAUAAAAGGAAAAGUUAAGGCUUGCGUGCUUUAGAAUACUAACCGCCAUGAUAGAUUUUCCCCCAAUGAUUCUAAAUUAGGAUAGUUCAUUUUAAAAAGGUAAGUGUAAAGUAUUCUUCAUGUAGUAUAGAAUAAGUUCCCUUUUCUUAAUAGAUAGUCUAGCAGAAAUAUAAGUGUACCGCUUUUGUUUCAUACAAUACAGAACUAAAGUUGGAACAAAAAUUCUUUGAGGACUUUUAGUUUCUUUCUUUGCUGCUGUUUAACUCAUCUCUCAUGACUUUUCCUGGUCAGACACAGGUUCGAAAGAAUGUCUUACUUAUUUAUGAUUAUAUUGGGAAAGAAUAAUUGAAAAUGACCCUUACAGAAAAUCCAUAAUACAUGAUCAUCUUACUCUUAAACUUUGUAAUAAUUUAUAUUAUGGCCCCCCUUUUUAUAAGAAGGGAAGUAUCCCUUUUUAUCAUGUUAUCUGUAGAAAAGGUAAUUAUUUAUUCACAUUUAUGAAAAGUAUUCUGUUUAAAUAACAGAACGUUAAGCUAAUCUAAAUGGCAAAAGUGUCGAUUUGGAUAAAUUCAUUUAUUUUUAAAUAGUAGUUCAUUCCCCAGAUAGAGAAACAUGAUCCUAUCAGGUUUGUUUAGAACCCCAUCCAUGAAACAAAGUAAAUUAAAGAUUUUUUUCUGAUACUUGUAUGGCAGUAACAUACUGUUCACACAUUUGAGAAAUCACUAAUAAAUUACCUUUAGGAAAUAGAAAAGAGGAAAAGGAGUUUUCCUUUUUUACUUUUAUUUUUGCUUAACCUACUUUUUUCCCACUUCACCAUCCUUUUGUAUUUUAUGGAAAUAUUCUUUUUGCUCUACUGUUCUCCCCAUUUGAGCAUCCUAGAUUGCCACCACACCAAGAUUUUCUGCUUUAAGGCAGAAAUGGAACCUGGGCCUAGAGCUAGGUGGAAAUGAUUCCAUACUUUCUCAGACACUCUGUCCUCCCUAGAAGCAAGAGAAACAAAACAGAAAUUGGUGGUUUGUUGCUGUUGCUUCUGCAGUUGCCCUGUUUGACCUGAGUUUUUUCUUACCUCUAUUCUUAAUGUUUAACUAUGUGGUCUUACUGUAUUUCAUCAUUAUCUCUAGUGAUUCACAUUUAUCACAAACCUGCUGUGAGUACAUAUUAAUUAGGUGAAAAAGUAGAAUGCAAUCAUAACAUGGGUUUUAAAAUAACUAUUCUUUGAAAGGAAGGGUGUUUUUUAUAGGUUUAUGUUUCUUUUGUUGAAAAUCUAUGAAUUCUUAUUUGAGCAACUGAUAGUCCAAAACACUUUAAGUCAAAUAUUAACUUGCAGUAACUGCUGAUUUUGAUGUGAGUGAGCUAUUUUAAAUUAAGUUAUCCAUUCUCGUGUGAAAUGGUAUAGAAAUCUUGCAGCCUGAUUUGGUUGGACUCUGAAUAAAAUUUUCAUUGUCACUGUUUUCUGUAUGCUUUCUUCCUGUUUGCCUCUGGUAUAAGGUAUAUGAGCCUCUUAUAACCCAGUCCCCACACCAUGCAGUGUUGGAGACAAGUAAGUUCUUCUGCAGAAAGCUUUAUAAGUCUGGUGCUAACUACUGUGUCUGUAAAUAUACUCUCAAACAAUUUUGUAGUCCCACUAUUUUUAAAAAUGUGUGGGUGUGGGAAGUGAUGUUGAAUGAGUUCAGGGUAAUUGGUGGUUCUUUAUAUUAAGAAAAAUCACACUAGUUAGAAGUCUGCUUCCAUAAUUCGUGUAUGUUUAAUUUUUUAAAACUUCUAGCCCUCCCUCACUGAAGUUUCCACUCUACCUCAUAAAUUUAAGCAAUGAAGAGUCAAAGCAUUUUAUAACUAGAAGGAUUUUAUAGAGAAUGUUAUGAACCCUCUCAUUAUAGUUAAGGAGAUUGAUGUCCGGUAAAGUUAAAUGAGAUCAUGUAGCUUGUUUAGUACGUUUCCAUUAAUAGACACUGUUCUGAUUAAUCUGUCCUAGCACAUUAAUAAUCAGAAAGUAAUAAUAAGGAAACAUAGCUAACAGGCCUAUAGUAUUUUCUCAUAUAUACCUGUAUCACUUCUCAGGAGUGCUCUAUGAGGUAUAGGUAUCCUAGUUUCCACUCCUAGAGAAAGCAGGCUCAUGUCUGGGGGAGGGAGGGGGAGGUUAUAGACCUGUCUAUACUGACAUCUAUCAGAAGGGCUCAUUUUCUUGUUUUCCCAUCUUGGCAGAAUCAUAGCCUAUCUCAGGAGAGUUCCCAAGACCACAGGAUGGAGAAAUCUUAUCUUUAGAUGUUGGCGUUGGCUCUUACCUGGGACCAAUUAUUAACUUCUCUGCCUAUUUCAUAACUUUUUUUUAAAGGGGGAAAAAAGUACAUUUUUAGAGAACUAUGAGCUCUUAAAUUUUUCAAAAUAAAGAUGGCGUUUAAUUGUAAAAGGUGUGUUAAAAAAAUCUCCUUACCAGCAUUUUAACAAUUCAGCCAAUAUAUGAGCAUCCACUAUAUCCCAGGCACAUUGAGGGUCCCAGUAGUGAUUAAGACAAAAUUGUGACCUGGACAGAAAAGGCUUAUGCAAUCCUCCCUCUUUUUAGAUUUAUUCACGUAGAGAACUAUUCACAAGAAAUGUCUUGCUUUUUUCUAUGUUGCUCUUGAGGAAUGAAAGUAUUAUUUCUUACGUCUGAAAUGAGUCAACAUUUUUAAUACUUUGUAUUAAAGUAUCCAUAUUAGAGAAAAUUUGUAAGAUACUUUAAUAUAGUAACGAUUAUAUCACUUUUUUUCUUAGAUUUUCUUUAACCUGAUGAAAUAUCUAAAGUUCUCAGUUAUUGCAUAGCUUUGAAAACAUGUUUUAAUGAUUAUGUAAUUUCAAAGUGAUUCAGUUUCUAAUUAUGUCAACCUGACUUUUUAUGCCAAUUUAUUAUUAAUAUUAUAUUAUACAAAAUGGUUAAUAAAAGAUUCAAAAUUAACUUUGAUUUUAUAAAUGCUUUCUAAAAUAAAAAAUAAAAAAUGAAUUAAGUUGCAGAUUCCUUUAACUUGUUGAAAAAGUUGACAGAAGUAUCAACUUUAUACUUUGGACCUGAAUUAGAAAUUGAUGUUUUUCAAAUUAUGAAAUUUAUAAACACAAUAAACAUUUAAGAGGCAGUUUCUGUUAUAGAAUUGUGUGCCUCUGAAAUGAUUAUUACUCUGAAGGAAUAGUACUAAUCAUGUCGAAUUUUUACUGUUUAGGGAAUUAUAGCUUUGAUUUUUUUAAAAAAAGACGAAGUUUUGAAUUCUGCCACAUGAUUAUUACAGUGAAACUCAUCCUAAAUUUACAUAAUGUUCCCUCAGAAAUGUCUGUUUCAGCAGAACUGGGAGAGUAUUUCUUGUGAGAGAGGCUCUUUGUGAGGAAGAAGUCUAAUGGAGCCUGAGCAAGGAAGGGUGGAGCUGAGCCAGCAGGUGGUCUGAGGGAGGCUGCCUGGGAACUGCUGACAGUGUAGGCUGGAGGAAAGGGAGGGCCCUGAGGCAGGAGGAGUGCAGUGGAAAGUCCCUUAUUAGCCUGAAAGCUAUGAUGCUCUGACCCUCUGGAAUCCCCCUCCCUAGUAGGGAUGCCAGCCAAAGUUGGAGAGGAUGGGCUCCCAGUAGAUCAGGGUGGGUGGAGAAAGUAGGGUGAUAACAGCCCAAAAGCUCAUGAUAAAGUUUGAGAGCUCCUGUCUGGGAAUCAGUACUAUUUUAAAGGAGAGCUUGGCAGUGAAUAAAUACAUGAAAAAUGAGUGAGUGACUUAAUUGUUUUCAUCACCAAAUGGUCUUUUCUACUCUUAAUUUUUUGGUUAACUUUUAUAUUCAAUUUACAAUGAACUGUUAUUGAUUAUCUCAUAUUUAUCCACACCCAUGAAGUCUUCUUGCACCACAAAUGAUCCAGAAAGACUUACAAUAAACAAAACAUCAGAACAAGAGAGUAAGUGAUGGGCGUGAUUUCUACACUCAAUCCUGUGAUACUGAUGACAUACCUGUGAUGGCAACUGCUUUUUCAUGCUGUGACAGGGAUGAAAUGAAGCCAUGCAUUGACAUUGCUUGACAUACAACAAAUACUUAGUUGAGGUUAUAUUUAAAUUAAGACUAUAUAUAUAUAUAUAUAUAUAUAUAUAUAUGGUUACAUAUAUACUUUUUAGCUUAAUUCUUCAUUUUCACUGCCAUUUUAUCAAAGAAUGCUUAUUGAACAAAAUAAUUAUGUUCAUUUCUACAGUAGAAUAUAUAUAUAUUUUUUAUAACUCUGGAAGCUGUAUGCUUUCAAGAUAAUCUUCUCUUCCUAGAAUUUCAGAUUGUUAAUCUUUCAUGUGAGCAUAAGCCAUGAGAAAUGUUCUCAGGGAAUUCCUGUACCCUCUAUCCAUCUUCACAAGGCAAGGGCCAGGUAGGUCUUUAUUUGUAUUACUUAUAAAUAAAAGCUAACAAAAGACUGCUUAUUAGCAAGAAGUAUAUUGAGAAUUAGAAGCCCUUGAACUAGGUUAAAAACAAUGAGGACUGCUAAGUGUAAAAGAAUAAAUCAGAGAAGACAAAGAUUAAUUUUAAAGUGUAGAUUUUUUUUUUUUUGUAUAUUUAGGUCACUUCCAUUUCAGAUGAGUUCUAGGUAUGCAUUCUACAAAAGGAAGAGAGACCACUUGUGUUUGUCUUCAUGUGUGUUUCAAAAAAAAAAAGGACAGAGGCUGAAUGUCAACACUAUUAAUGCAAUUGCCUGAACUGUAGGGCCUCAAAGAGAGGUAGGCUGGAAGGAUGCAUAGCCUGGGCACUAUGCCCUGUGCUGACUUGGAAUACACCCCUUCCUAGAGCACCACUGCAAAAACUCUAGCCUGAAGACUGGAAGGUUAUAAGGACAAGAGAGGAGAGAGGUGAAAGCAGAGAGAGAAGCUUUAUUCUCUAGGUGACCAGGGUUCCUACAUGCACAUUUUCAUUUCCAUCACUCUCUAAAGGAGAGUACUAGGAGAGAAAGAGACAGACACAUAGACAUCAUAAGCAAUGGUAACCUUCACCAACUGCUAAGUGCCUAAAAUCUCCAGUCAGAUAUGGGCCAUUAAAUUUAUGUGAAUAAAUUGUGAAUAGUUGUUGUAGGGAACUUGGGUGCCUAAUAACAUUUUAAGAUAUUCUUAAAAUGUAUAUAGCCUGCAGAAAGUACAUUAUUAAAGAGUCAAUUGAAAGGGUCAAUAUUGAAUCUUAGCUCACUAAGGUGAGCUAAGAAAAUUCUUAAGUUUUUUUCUGGGGCUGGUCCCAAACUGUUCCCCACAAGAAGGAAUUAAACAAUUCUUCAAACAGAUAUGGGAAAGAGUAUAAAACUUGACCAGGGUAUAGACAUCCAGAGCUGUACCUUUUGGGUAGGAAGACUCAGGGACAUCAAUUAACAGAGCUAAAGAAAUGGAAUGCUCAUGGUUUUGAACUAGACAAGUUGUUUUUGGUAUUUCCAGAGUUGUAAAUGACCAAGCAUUAAAUCUGAUGUAUUUAACAAAAUUGGAUCUUAUUCUGCCAUAUUUGUUUUUAACCCAUGAUUUUGAGUAGAUUUACUGGUCACACUUUUCAGAUAGUAAUAAGAUUUUUUCAGUCUUAAGCAAACUUACUUAGUUCAGUCCUUAUAGAACAGUGGUUCUCUGCCAGAAUGAUAUAAUGGAAGCCUUAGAUAACUCAUGCAAAAUAUACAAAUCCAGCAGUCUCCUCAUCUACUGAUUAAGAAUUGCAGAAUGGUUGUGGUAAGAGAAAAUUGAGGUAUAUGGAGUUAGAUGAAGCUGUCUAGAUAAUCUGUUACUACUGUUUAGCUUUGAUAAUUACACUGAUAUACAGAUAGAAAGAUAGAUAUAUAUAGAGAGAGUGAAAUAUGGCCUAAACAGCUCAGUAACCAAAAAACAAAUAGUUUAAACACCUAAAUAAUACUAAAUCUCACCAAAACUAACAAAAGUUUUCAGUAUCUAUUGGAAUAAAUAUGCUUUAGCUUUUACAUAGAUACCAUCUUGCUUGGAUCUUGCUGAAAAAUAAAUCUAUACAUAUAGGCCAUGAAGUACUAUACUGAUAACUGGUAAAAUGGCCUUCCAUUUAUGAACUCUUGUGAACUAUGAUCUUGUGGUCUUCCAUGCUUUCUUUGGAUAAUUUGUUUAUUGAUUGUUUUGUAUUGGGGGACUGGGGAUUGAAACUAGGGGUGCUCUACCAUUGAGCUAUGUUCCCCAGGCCUUUUUAUUUUUAUUUUGGGACAGGAUCUACUCUGUUGCUGAGGCUAUCCUCAAACUUGAAAUCCUCCUGCCUCAAACUCUCAAAUAUCUGGGAUUACAGGUGUGUGCUACCAUACUUGGCUCUUUAGAAAAUGUUUUAUGUCUGUUCAUAAACUGCUGAGUAAAAACCUGGAUUUUCAAAGUUGUGCUAAGGUUUAUCUCACUACAUGUUCAUGGAAUUAUUUGUUAUCCAAAGUGAUUUGAUUAGUAUAUACUAAGUCAGUUUCCAUUCAUCAUUUUUAAUUUAAAAUUAUUACUCAAAAU
rnacentral:lncRNA from 1 species